rnacentral:rRNA from 1 species
GCGAGUGAGCGGCAAAAGCUCAAAUUUGAAAUCUGGCACUUUCAGUGUCCGAGUUGUAAUUUGAAGAAGGUAUCUUUGGGUCUGGCUCUUGUCUAUGUUUCUUGGAACAGAACGUCACAGAGGGUGAGAAUCCCGUGCGAUGAGAUGACCCAGACCUAUGUAAAGUUCCUUCGAAGAGUCGAGUUGUUUGGGAAUGCAGCUCUAAGUGGGUGGUAAAUUCCAUCUAAAGCUAAAUAUUGGCGAGAGACCGAUAGCGAACAAGUACAGUGAUGGAAAGAUGAAAAGAACUUUGAAAAGAGAGUGAAAAAGUACGUGAAAUUGUUGAAAGGGAAGGGCUUGAGAUCAGACUUGGUAUUUUGUAUGUUACUCUUUCGGGGGUGGCCUCUACAGUUUACCGGGCCAGCAUCAGUUUGGGCGGUAGGAGAAUUGCAAAGAAAUGUGGCACUGCUUCGGUAGUGUGUUAUAGUCUUUGUCGAUACUGCCAGCCUAGACUGAGGACUGCGGCUUCGGCCUAGGAUGUUGGCAUAAUGAUCUUAAGUCGCCCGUCUUGAAACACGGAC